rnacentral:rRNA from 1 species
GNGACGCUGGCGGCGUGCCUGAGAUAUGCAAGUCGAGCGAUCCCGAUUCCGCAAGGAAUCGCGGAAGCGGCGGACGGCUGAGUAAUACGCAGGAAUCUCCCCCUAGGUAGAGAACAGCUCACCGAAAGGUGUGGUAAUACUCUAUGGUAUCCCGCUUAUGCGGGAUUAAAGGACGUAACUGUCCGCCAAGGGAUGAGCCUGCGGCCUAUCAGGUAGUUGGUGAGGUAAAAGCUCACCAAGCCUACGACGGGUAGCUGGUCUUAGAGGAUGGACAGCCAGAGGGGGACUGAGACACGGCCCCCACUCCUACGGGAGGCAGCAAUCAGGAAUAGUCGGCAAUGGACGAAAGUCUGACCGCGCGACGCCGCGUGUAGGAAUAAGCUCUAACGAGCGUAAACUACUGUGGUAGGGGAAGAAGUCCCGAUGUAAGUCGGGGUUGACGGUACCCUACAAGAAAGUGGCCGCUAACUGCGUGCCAGAAGCGUCGGUAAUACGUGGGCCACAAGCGUUAUCCGGUGUCAUUGGGCGUAAAGGGUCGUGUAGGCGUCUUAAUAAGUUUCUGUUUAAAUACUAAGGCCCAACCUUAGGAAAGGCGGAAAUCUAUUGAGAUAGAGUUUUCUCAAGGGGGACUAGAACUUAGGGAGGAGUAGUGAAAUGCGUUGAUCCCUAGGGAAUACCAGUGGCGAAGCNAGUCCCUGGGUAGUCCUAGCCNUAAANGAAUGUUNUAGCUGCAUGGAGUCAGCUUUUAGUUUUCAAAACUUAAAAAAUAAUAAGUACUUUUCAUACGGGUCUUUUUUCUUUUUAUCGCUUAUAACUGAGAUCUGAUUCCGUGUGGCGAAGGUAACCCGUUAAGCAAACCGCCUGGGGAGUACGGCCGCAAGGUUGAAACUCAAAGGAAUUGGCGGGGAGGCACACAACCAGUGGAACAUGUGGUUUAAUUCGAUACGAACCGAAGCACCUCACCAGGACUUGACAUCUUAGCGUUCUAAUCCCGCGUAAUCGGGAUGAUCCGCAAGGAGGCUAGGACAGGUGUUGCAUGGCUGUCGUCAGCUCGUUCCGUGAGGAGUGCCCUUAAGUGGGACAACGAGCGCAACCCCCAUCCUGUGUUAAAUCUGUCACAGGAAACUGCUCCGACGGUACGUCGGGGAGGAAGGAGGGGCAGACGUCAAGUCAGCAUGAUCCUUAUGUCCUGGGCCACACACAUGUUACAAUGAGUAGAAACAAUGGGUUUAGCCAGCCGGUAACGGUGAGCAAAUCCCUUUAAAUCUACUCUCAGUGGGGAUUGGGGUCUGCAACUCGACCCCAUGAACUCGGAAUUGGUAGUAAUCGCGAAUCAGUCAUGUCGCGGUGAAUACGUUCUUGCCUCUUGCACACACCGCCCGUC